rnacentral:rRNA from 1 species
CAAAGGAAUUGACGGGGGCCCGCACAAGCGGAGGAACAUGUGGUUAAUUCGAUGAUACGCGAGGAACCUUACCUGGGCUUAAAUGUAGAGUGCAUUCUCGAGAAAUCGGGAUUUCCUUCGGGACUCUUUGCAAGGUGCUGCAUGGUUGUCGUCAGCUCGUGCCGUGAGGUGUCGGGUUAAGUCCCAUAACGAGCGCAACCCUUAUCGUUAGUUGCCAGCGGGUCAUGCCGGGAACUCUAACGAAACUGCCGGUGUAAACCGUGAGGAAGGUGGGAUGACGUCAAAUCAGCACGGCCCUUAUGUCCAGGGCUACACACGUGUUACAAUGGCCGGUACAGAGGGCAGCUACCUGGAGACAGGAUGCGAAUCUCCAAAGCCGGUCUCAGUUCGGAUCGGAGUCUGCAACUCGACUCCGUGAAGCUGGAUUCGCUAGUAAUCGCGCAUCAGCCAUGGCGCGGUGAAUACGUUCCCGGGCCUU